GAUGAACGCUGGCGGCGUGCUUAACACAUGCAAGUCGAACGAUGAAGCCCAGCUUGCUGGGUGGAGUAGUGGUGAACGGGUGGGUAACACGUGAGUAACCUGCCCUUAACUCUGGGAUAAGCCUGGGAAACUGGGUCUAAUACCGGACAGGAGCGUCCACCGCAUGGUGGGUGUUGGAAAGAUUUAUCGGUUUUGGAUGGACUCGCGGCCUAUCAGCUUGUUGGUGAGGUAAUGGCUCACCAAGGCGACGACGGGUAGCCGGCCUGAGAGGGUGACCGGCCACGCUAGGACUGAGACACGGCACAGACUCGUACGGGAGGCAGCAGUGGGGUAUAUUGCACAAUGGGCGCAAGCCUGAUGCAGCGACGCAGCGUGGGGGAUGACGGCCUUCGGGUUGUAAACCUCUUUCAGUAGGGAAGAAGCGAAAGUGACGGUACCUGCAGAAGAAGCACCGGCUAACUACGUG
rnacentral:rRNA from 1 species